UCCACGUAAAAUUUAUAAUUUCAAAUUAUAAACAUUUACAUAUUGUUUCGGAACCUCCCCCUCCCUUACCUAAAGUAUAAUCCGCCCCUGAUGCAGGGCCGUACCCUGAUCAAAAUCCUAGGUGGGGGGUACUACUUGUUAUCAACAAAUGAAACACUAUACUAAUUAUAUGCUAUUUCACAGGGGGGAAACGCUGUCCAUGCCAAAACGGAAGUUGCUUAGUACCAUUUUCCCGCUGGAUAGUCGUAAACGACAGAACACAGCAAGUAUACGACGGUGAGAAGUGGAUCACAGAACCCUGUUACAAACGUCAAUGAAGUAAUACAGGUGCUAUUGCUUUAUUUGGAAUAACGGAGGCUAUUUUCCACUGCUAUUACUGUCGUCUGAUGUCUGAUUUUGGAUCCAUCAUGCAACACUUAAUGCACGAGCACCCUGGUGAUGUCAUCAAAGUGCGACAGAGGGUUCCUAGUCCUCACUCUGGAAAAAUUAGAUUUCAAACUAAAUCCAGUACAUGAUUUGCAAACGAGUGUUUGUCUCUCUGUUGGUACAUGCAAGCAACCAUCAAAAAAACAAAACAUUGUUAUAAGGUACAUGUUAUAUAGGUUUAUUGUUAAAAUACCAAGUUAAUAACUGCAUUCAGGGUGUCUAGGCUGAACUAAAAUUUCCGAAUUGCGAUUUAUAAUGUAAUGCAGACGUUUUAGUGGGGGAAAAAUGGACUCAACAACUAAGGUUUGUGCUUUUGGCGACUGCAGCUGUUAGAACAAAAUAGUUGGUGUCAUCACUGUUUUGACGUUGAUUCAUGAGUGCAGCUAUUCACAGUUUUGAAGAAAUUAGUUUUUAGCAGUGUCGUCAUUCAGACCAUCAGAUUACAAUUUUCGAAAUUUAAAAUGCAACCAAAUAUUAAACCAAAAUAAUAUUUUUGGGACAGGCAUAUGAAAGAUUGGGAUGGGGCAUACUUUAGUACGUACGAAAGGGAAUGAGGUCCACAGAAAUUUCUGAAUUUGCACACGUGGGGUCGGGGUAAUGUUGUGAGUCCAAGAACAAAGAUUAAUGUACAAAUACGUUAUUUUAGUGUUUGUCAUUGACAUACAUUUCUGAUGACUGUCACAUGCAGAAAAGGGUAGGUUUUCAGGCCGGACUUGAAAUAUUACAACAUUGUUUUAACGUGUGAUCUUAGAAAAUACACACACACACACACACACACACACACACACACACACACACAGAGAGAGAGAGAGAGAGAGAGAGAGAGAGAGAGAGAGAGGAGAGAGAGAGAGAGAGAGAGAGAGAGAGAGAGAUUUGGCUUGAAGUGUUCAUUGUUAUAUUUAUCCUUGCUGGGAUCAUUCAUUUGAUUACCUCGAGGGCUCUAAACGAUGGCCAAAACGGAACAGUAGCCAUGUUUAGGGUCCAAUGAUGUCAGCAAAUGGCUGCCUACUAGUGAGGCAGCAUCACACAUGUGACCAAAUAUUUUGCCCCACAAGCGUCUGAGAGUAGAGCUUGAAUAAACACGUAUUCUAAUACGCAUUAACAGCUUUAUGCAGGCAUCAAAAUAAGCAUUGUGUCUGGUAACCCAUUUACAGGUUACCACAAAAUAUAGCCUGGUAACCCAUAGGUUACCACAACUAUAUGAAAGUUAGAACUGAAUUCCUAUUACUACUACUUUUAACGCCCUUGUAUGUGUGCCAGAUGAUUAUUGUAGUAUACAUGUAUUUAUGAUUCAUUGUUUAUCUUAUCAUUGUUUUUAAUGUAUUACAUAUAAUUCUUCACAAGUAUGUGACUCAUAUUAAAUAACUGAACAAAUGAAUAAAUAAAUUGAUGAAAAUAAAAAUGUUCUGUUUUCUAUUUUCUCGGUUUUUAUCAUGCAACAAUGAAAGAUAAUAAUAAUUCUGAAAUUGUAUCGGUACGCGCGAACGUCGGUACGAGAAAUGAAAUCCGGAAGUAAAUUCAUCUAGUGGACGCUGCUUAAACGCGGACUAAACUAUAACUGCUAGCAAUUGCACAAGUGCAUGCGAAGAUCGAUGCAAUUCCUCACAAACAAAUGAAACGCAGAAGACCUGAAUGCAUCGUCUGGUUUCCGUUCAGAAAUGAAACUACCGUUAACGUUUAAAUUUUUGUCGAGAACGAAACACCGUUCUCGACUUUUAUUAAUUGUGGUAACCUCCCGGUAACCUGAACGACCGUUCUCGACAAUCACACAUACACGUGCACACAUACAUUCGUACACAACAGUAGGAUGGUAUCCAGUAUUUGUCUGAAAAGGCGAGUCGUUACUCCCGUUUCCCUCCACACUAGCUUGGAAAGUUUUAGGAGAGCUGCAAAUGUAUCGCCUUACAAUAAUAAUUUAAUGUAUAUCAUUUGAAACUUCAUGGCAUUGCUCACUUGGAGUUUGUUUAGUGACAUUUAGCUCGCCUCAUGGCGAAAACUGGUAUGUGUGCUAUAUUUAUUAAACGUGCAUUAUCGAGUUUGUAUAACAGUACAUAUUCUGUUGCAUACACCCGUCGGUAGGCCCACUGUGCUAUUUAUCGUUCCAACCAGAGCACCACGACUGGUAUAUCAACGGCCAUGGUAUCGUACAUAUAAAAAGAUAUCUUGCUGCUAAUGUAAAAAUGUAGCGGGUUUCUUCUAUAAAUUACUAAAUGUUUGUCAUCCAAUAGCCAAUGAUUAAUAAAUCAAUUAGCUCUAGUGGUGUCUUUAAACAAAACACACUUUUAUCUUUGUGCUGGUGUGUCUGCUUUCUGCCAUAAAGCAUAUGAAUAAUUUCUGCUCUGAUAUUAUUUACAAGGCAUUUAUAUCCUAGCUUGAAUUUCCUGCCACGGUUAAUAUAGAUGCGUUAUGCUUAGGAAACGUAGCUUUCUAGAUUGAUUCAUUAGAAAUAUAGGUUUUUUUCUUCAAAUAAAUUGAAUAGACUGUAAGUUACGUUAUUUACAAAUUGUAUUAUGUCAAAUGUAUCAAUAUAAACAUAGUCUUUGUAUAUAGAGGUUUGAUAUUUUUACAAAACAUACAUUAUCCAGAUUGCUACAAUACAAAUAUAUUCUCUGUUUCAUAAUUGGCUUUGUUUCUAGGUACAUUCUCUGAACAUACUGGUUUGCCAUUUUUACAAAACAUGCUUUAUCCAGAUUGCUUCAAUACAAAUAUAUUCUCUGUUUCAUAAUUUGCUUAGUUUCUAUUUUUGCUUUAUUUACAAAGACUAUUAUCUCACACUGAUCAAUAAAAAUGUAUUCUCUGUUACAUAAUUUGCUUAGUCUUUAGGUUUGCCUUAUUUACAAAUAUUAUUAUCUCACAUGCAUCAAUAUAAAUUUAUUCUUUGUAAGUACAGGUUUGCCAUAUUUACAAAACAUGUAUUAUUCUGAUUAAAUCAAUAAAAAU
rnacentral:lncRNA from 1 species